rnacentral:lncRNA from 1 species
GAGAGGUGUCUCCUCUUAGGGGCUUCUUACUAGGAGAGAAGGUUCCUAAGGGUUCCUUCUUAGGCGUUGGGAAUUUUGGGAAGAGUGAAAAGAAAAGAGAAAGAGUUCUCCAGAUUUUGAUCUUCCAUUCAUCUUCCUCCUAUAUUCUUUUUCUUCUCUAAAGAGUCUGAGAGAUUUAGGGAAGGAUUCAAAUCAGCCAUCAAGAAGAUGUUUUUUGCAAAAGAGCUAGCACCCUAGUGAAGACGUAGGCCUCUGAUCGGAUCGAAGGCUUCGUAUGGAUACCCAUGGAGAUCGGAUGCAUGUAUGGCUCGAUGAGGACUUCAUCAGAUUAUCAUGAUCAUCGGAUUGUGGUGCUCUACUACCUAUGCAAAGGUAUCA